rnacentral:lncRNA from 1 species
UUUGUUUGAUCGUUUGUUUGUUUGUUUGUUUGAUUAUUUAUUUAUUUAUGUUUGGACUUUGUAACCCUGGCGUAGCAUUGGGUGAUGUGUCUGUGUUAAAAUUAGUUCUUGUGCGGUGUGAGCUGUUGACUGAUCAAAUUUUGCCUUUAGUGUGGGAUUGUAGUAUGUAGAUGGGGAUUUUGUAGAUUGUAUAUGUUUGUUUGACGAUGUGUAUUUUAGGAAAUCGGUUAGAAAGAUGAAAGAGACAAAAGACAAAGUAAUUGGUUUAGUCUUAGAGAGAAUUCUUAAUUGAUAAUAUAUGGAAAUGUUUUAUUUUUAUUUUGUUUUCAUGGGUAAGCAUUGAAAUAUUCUAAAUUAAAAACAUAGCAAAAACAAUAACGUGUUUCCAAAUUAAAUAACAUUAUACAUAUAAUAAAAUAAGUGAAUAAAAUUUCAAAUAAAAAUACCAAAAUGAAUAAGUUAGAGGUUGAAUAUUAUAAUCUUAUAAAGAAAUAAAAGUGAUGAGAUGAACAUUAUCACAGAUAUCUAUAUUUAUUUGAGUAGAAAUCUGUCAGUCCAAACAAAUAAGAGUAUGCAAACUUGAUUUUUAUUUUUUUAUUUUUUAUUUUUUAAAUUUAUUUUUAUUCUUAAAUACAAUUUAGAUCUCUAAGUGUCUUUUGUUGUAUCAUGUAUAAUAUUGUAUGCAUGGCUAUAUGAAUUUAUUGUAAUUUUUUUGUAGAUUGAAAAAGUUAUUACAAAAUUGUUUUACAAGUUAUAUGUUUGUUUCUUAAGUUUUGUGGUCCUUAUAAAUGAUGCUUACGUAAUAUAUGAUUUUUUUAUUUUUUUAUUUUUAGAAUAAUAAAAUCUAACAUUUAAGUGUAUAAAAUAUUUUUUUAACAAAAACAUUAAAUAUAUAUAU